rnacentral:RNase_P_RNA from 1 species
GAAGUUCGCCAGGCAGUCGCUGUGUGCGCGUGCGUACAUGGAGGAAAGUCCGGGCCCCGCAGGGCAGGAUGCCGGCUAACGGCCGGGCGCUAUAAGUCGAAAGACCCAAGGCGACGGAAAGUGCAACAGAAAACAUACCGCCGAUGGCUCCGCAAGGAGAUCAGGUAAGGUUGAAAUGGUGGGGUAAGAGCCCACCGCAGACGUGGUGACACGUUCUGGCUUGGCAAACCCCAUCCGGGGCAAGGCCAAAUAGGGGGGCGUUGAUGUGGCCCGCAGAGCCCCCGGGUAGGCUGCUAGAGCCUUGCGGUAACGUAAGGCCCAGAGGAAUGACUGCCCCGUCGGCGCAAGCCGGCGCGACAGAACCCGGCUUAUCGGCGAACUUCCCAC